GAUGAAGAACGCAGCGAAAUGCGAUAAGUAGUGUGAAUUGCAGAAUUCAGUGAAUCAUCGAAUCUUUGAACGCACAUUGCGCCCCUUGGUAUCCCGAGGGGCACGCCUGUUCGAGCGUCAUUUCACCACUCAAGCCUGGCUUGGUGUUGGGCGACGUCCUCUUUGGGGACGCGCCUCGAAACGCUCGGCGGCGUGGCACCGGCUUUAAGCGUAGCAGAAUCUUUCGCUUUGGAAGUCGGGGCCCCGUCUGCCGGAAGACCUGCUCGCAAGGUUGACCUCGGAUCAGGCAGGGAUACCCGCUGAACUUAAGCAUAUCAAUAAGCGGAGGA
rnacentral:misc_RNA from 1 species